UGCUGGUGUUAAGCCGGAGGAAGGCGAGGAUCACGUCAAGUCAUCAUGCCCCUUAUGCCCUGGGCGACUAUUACGUGCUACAAUGGACGGGACAAAGGUCGCGAUCAGAUCUCAGAUCACGCGCGCGAUCCCGCGAGGGUGAGCUAACUCCAAAAACCCGUCCUCAGUUCGGAUUGCAGACUGCAACUCGUCUGCAUGAAGCAGGAAUCGCUAGUAAUCGCUGGUCAGCCACACGGCGGUGAAUUCGUUCUCGGGUCUUGUACACACCGCCCGUCACACUAGGGGAGCUGGCCUUGUUUGAAAGCUUUAAAACCUUAACCGCAAGGAAGGGUAUGCAGAAGGCAAGGCGAGUGACUAAAGUGAAGUCGUAACAAGGUAGCCGUACUGGAAGGUGUGGCUGGAUCACCUCCUU
rnacentral:rRNA from 1 species